GACGAACGCUGGCGGCGUGCUUAACACAUGCAAGUCGAACGAAGUGGCGUACGGGUUAGUAACGCGUAAUCAAUCUGCCCUUCAGAGGGGGACAACCGUUUGAAACUACUGCUAAUACCGCAUACUGAAGGAGGGGAUUCCGUCUGCUUCGAUAGUUGGAGGGUGAACGGCCAACCAAGGCGGUGUUCAGUAGCCGGUCUGAGGGGAGGAACGGCGACAUUGGGACUGAGACACGGACCAGACUCCUACGGGAGGGAGCAGUGGGGAAUCUUCCGCAAUGGACGAAAGUCUGACGGAGCAACGCCGCGUGAGUGAUGACGGCCUUCGGGUUGUAAAGCUCGGUUAAUCGGGACGCGGUACCGGAAUAGAAAGUCACGGCUAACUACGUGCCAGCAGCCGCGGUAAUAC
rnacentral:rRNA from 1 species